GGUGGUUGUAUCUCUAUAGGGGUGGUUGUAUCUCUAUAUCUCUAUAGGGGUGGUUGUAUCUCUAUAGGGGUGGUUGUAUCUCUAUAGUGAGAGGGGUGGUUGUAUCUCUAUAGUGAGAGGGGUGGUUGUAUCUCUAUAGAGGGGUGGUUGUAUCUCUAUAGUGAGAGGGGUGGUUGUACCUCUAUCUCUAAGGGGGUGGUUGUAUCUCUAUAGUGAGAGGGGUGGUUGUAUCUCUAUAGGGGUGGUGUAUCUCUAUAGGGGUGGUUGUAUCUCUAUAGUGAGAGGGGUGGUUGUAUCUCUAUAGGGAGGGGGGGUGGUUGUAUCUCUAUAGUGAGAGGGGUGGUUGUAUCUCUAUAGUGAGAGGGGUGGUUGUAUCUCUAUAGUGAGAGGGGUGGUUGUAUCUCUAUAGUGAGAGGGGUGGUUGUAUCUCU
ensembl:lncRNA